CACGCGUCGGCCACUCCACCUCGGGCGCUCUGAAGCCGGCCGCAUGGAGACUGGGGGACGAUGGCCAAGGGACAGUGGAAAAAUGGCAGGGCAGACCCCCUUGGAUUUGCCCACGUGGAGUUUGGAUAUUUACCUGGCUUCUUUGUCAAGUCUUGGGCCUGAUGCAGGUUGCAGACGUAUGGCCACCGGUUCAUGUAGUCAACAGGUCAGGGGGGCUGUUGCCACCGAAGGAAGGGGGAUAGUGCUGACAAGACUGAUGGUAAUGAUGACAUCUAACGUACAUGGAGCAGCUCUAUCUGCCAGACACUAAGCUCACACUGCAAGUGCCUUCUCCCAGAAGACUUGAUACCGGGAUAUCCUGAGAGCCAAAUCAAAAGCUGCUUUCCACCAGGUGCUUAAGGGAGCACUGAAGAAGACCAAAGGAACUGUGACUCCCUAAGCUCAGGGAAUAGUCAAUAAAUCUCUUUGCUGGCCCGCUGGCAUAGGCUUGUAGUCUCAGCGACUUAUGAGUUGAGGCAGAAGGAUAAGUAGUUCAAGGCCAGCCUUGUCAACUUACCAAAACUGUCUCAAAUUUUUGAAAAAGAAAAGCAGAGUAGGGAAUAUCAGGCAAGGAUAGAAUGCUUACCCAGCAUGCACCAGGUCACCGAGUCAAUCCCUAGAACUGAAGAGAAAAGUGAUCUCCUCUUUAAAAGGAACUAUUUUCUGACUAUCCUGGAAAUGGAUGGUUCUAGAAGAGUUUCAUACUCAACCCUGAGACUUGUGGGAAAUCUCAGAUUUGGAGUCUUCGUAGCUAACCACUUCAGGUAUAGUGUCCCCAACUGGGAUGACAGAUAGGAACCUCACAGUGUCCCCAGUCUCAUGUUCCUUUUGCCUUAGGAAAUCCUUGGGGUCUAAAACUGCACCAAGUAUAAGAGAUAACUCCCCUUACCUCCUUGGAGAUGAGGAUUGGUACCAUUAUGUACAGACUUUAGGCAGGGUGCUCAAGUCCUCCCUUACCCAUCUCUUCUUGUCUAACCUAAGGGAUAAAGAGCUUGCUUUCAAAUGUUAUUAACACUGGGACAAUGGGCAAGAGAACACUAAUGUUUCGUGAUGCAUGAAAUAAAAAGAAAUUUACAUUUAA
rnacentral:lncRNA from 1 species